rnacentral:rRNA from 1 species
UACGUAGGGGGCAAGCGUUGUCCGGAAUCAUUGGGCGUAAAGAGCGCGUAGGCGGCCCUGUAAGUCCGCUGUGAAAGUCAAGGGCUCAACCCUUGAAUGCCGGUGGAUACUGCAGGGCUAGAGUCCGGAAGAGGCGAGUGGAAUUCCUGGUGUAGCGGUGGAAUGCGCAGAUAUCAGGAGGAACACCAAUAGCGAAGGCAGCUCGCUGGGACGUUACUGACACUGAGGCGCGAAAGCGUGGGGAGCGAACAGG